UACGUAGGGGGCAAGCGUUGUCCGGAUUUACUGGGCGUAAAGAGCGUGUAGGCGGCCAAGCAGGUCCGUUGUGAAAACUGGAGGCUUAACCUCCAGACGUCGACGGAAACCGCGUGGCUAGAGUCCGGAAGAGGAGAGUGGAAUUCCUGGUGUAGCGGUGAAAUGCGCAGAUAUCAGGAAGAACACCCGUGGCGAAGGCGCUCUCUGGGACGGUACUGACGCUGAGACGCGAAAGCGUGGGGAGCGAACAGG
rnacentral:rRNA from 1 species